CCUACGGGUGGCUGCAGUGGGGAAUAUUGGACAAUGGGCGAAAGCCUGAUCCAGCCAUGCCGCGUGUGUGAAGAAGGCCUUCGGGUUGUAAAGCACUUUCAGUGGGGAAGAAAGCCUUGGGGCUAAUACCCUCGAGGAAGGACAUCACCCACAGAAGAAGCACCGGCUAACUCCGUGCCAGCAGCCGCGGUAAUACGGAGGGUGCGAGCGUUAAUCGGAAUUACUGGGCGUAAAGCGCGCGUAGGCGGUCUGAUAAGCCGGUUGUGAAAGCCCCGGGCUCAACCUGGGAACGGCAUCCGGAACUGUCAGGCUAGAGUGCAGGAGAGGAAGGUAGAAUUCCCGGUGUAGCGGUGAAAUGCGUAGAGAUCGGGAGGAAUACCAGUGGCGAAGGCGGCCUUCUGGACUGACACUGACGCUGAGGUGCGAAAGCGUGGGUAGCAAACAGGAUUAGAUACCCUGGGAGUC
rnacentral:rRNA from 1 species